rnacentral:rRNA from 1 species
GAGGAAUAUUGCGCAAUGGACGAAAGUCUGACGCAGCCAUGCCGCGUGCAGGAUGAAUGCCCUAUGGGUUGUAAACUGCUUUUAUAUACCAAGAAACCCCCGGACGUGUCCGGGGCUGACGGUAGUAUAUGAAUAAGGACCGGCUAACUCCGUGCCAGCAGCCGCGGUAAUACGGAGGGUCCAAGCGUUAUCCGGAUUUAUUGGGUUUAAAGGGUUCGUAGGCGGGAUAUUAAGUCAGUGGUGAAAGCCCACAGCUCAACUGUGGAACUGCCAUUGAUACUGAUAUUCUUGAGUUUAUUUGGAGUUAGCGGAAUAUGUCAUGUAGCGGUGAAAUGCUUAGAUAUGACAUA